rnacentral:rRNA from 1 species
AUGAACGCUAGCUACAGGCUUAACACAUGCAAGUCGAGGGGCAGCAUGGUCUUAGCUUGCUAAGGCCGAUGGCGACCGGCGCACGGGUGAGUAACACGUAUCCAACCUGCCGUCUACUCUUGGACAGCCUUCUGAAAGGAAGAUUAAUACAAGAUGGCAUCAUGAGUCCGCAUGUUCACAUGAUUAAAGGUAUUCCGGUAGACGAUGGGGAUGCGUUCCAUUAGAUAGUAGGCGGGGUAACGGCCCACCUAGUCUUCGAUGGAUAGGGGUUCUGAGAGGAAGGUCCCCCACAUUGGAACUGAGACACGGUCCAAACUCCUACGGGAGGCAGCAGUGAGGAAUAUUGGUCAAUGGGCGAGAGCCUGAACCAGCCAAGUAGCGUGAAGGAUGACUGCCCUAUGGGUUGUAAACUUCUUUUAUAAAGGAAUAAAGUCGGGUAUGCAUACCCGUUUGCAUGUACUUUAUGAAUAAGGAUCGGCUAACUCCGUGCCAGCAGCCGCGGUAAUACGGAGGAUCCGAGCGUUAUCCGGAUUUAUUGGGUUUAAAGGGAGCGUAGAUGGAUGUUUAAGUCAGUUGUGAAAGUUUGCGGCUCAACCGUAAAAUUGCAGUUGAUACUGGAUAUCUUGAGUGCAGUUGAGGCAGGCGGAAUUCGUGGUGUAGCGGUGAAAUGCUUAGAUAUCACGAAGAACUCCGAUUGCGAAGGCAGCCUGCUAAGCUGCAACUGACAUUGAGGCUCGAAAGUGUGGGUAUCAAACAGGAUUAGAUACCCUGGUAGUCCACACGGUAAACGAUGAAUACUCGCUGUUUGCGAUAUACAGCAAGCGGCCAAGCGAAAGCGUUAAGUAUUCCACCUGGGGAGUACGCCGGCAACGGUGAAACUCAAAGGAAUUGACGGGGGCCCGCACAAGCGGAGGAACAUGUGGUUUAAUUCGAUGAUACGCGAGGAACCUUACCCGGGCUUAAAUUGCAGAUGAAUUACGGUGAAAGCCGUAAGCCGCAAGGCAUCUGUGAAGGUGCUGCAUGGUUGUCGUCAGCUCGUGCCGUGAGGUGUCGGCUUAAGUGCCAUAACGAGCGCAACCCUUGUUGUCAGUUACUAACAGGUUCCGCUGAGGACUCUGACAAGACUGCCAUCGUAAGAUGUGAGGAAGGUGGGGAUGACGUCAAAUCAGCACGGCCCUUACGUCCGGGGCUACACACGUGUUACAAUGGGGGGUACAGAGGGCCGCUACCACGCGAGUGGAUGCCAAUCCCAAAAACCUCUCUCAGUUCGGACUGGAGUCUGCAACCCGACUCCACGAAGCUGGAUUCGCUAGUAAUCGCGCAUCAGCCACGGCGCGGUGAAUACGUUCCCGGGCCUUGUACACACCGCCCGUCAAGCCAUGGGAGCCGGGGGUACCUGAAGUGCGUAACCGCGAGGAGCGCCCUAGGGUAAAACUGGUGACUGGGGC